AGAGUUUGAUCCUGGCUCAGAACGAACGCUGGCGGCAUGCCUAACACAUGCAAGUCGAACGCCCCGCAAGGGGAGUGGCAGACGGGUGCAUAACACGUGGGAACCUACCCUUGGGUUCGGAAUAACCGCGGGAAACUGCGGCUAAUACCGGAUACGUCCUCUGGGAGAAAGAUUCAUCGCCCUUGGAGGGGCCCGCGUCGGAUUAGCUAGUUGGUGAGGUAACGGCUCACCAAGGCGACGAUCCGUAGCUGAUCUGAGAGGAUGAUCAGCCACACUGGAACUGAGACACGGUCCAGACUCCUACGGGAGGCAGCAGUGGGGAAUAUUGGACAAUGGGCGCAAGCCUGAUCCAGCAAUGCCGCGUGAGUGAUGAAGGCCUUCGGGUUGUAAAGCUCUUUUGGCAGGGACGAUAAUGACGGUACCUGCAGAAUAAGCCCCGGCUAACUUCGUGCCAGCAGCCGCGGUAAUACGAAGGGGGCUAGCGUUGAUCGGAAUUACUGGGCGUAAAGGGCGCGUAGGCGGAUUCGCUAGACAGGCGUGAAAUGCCCAGG
rnacentral:rRNA from 1 species